rfam:Spirochaeta coccoides DSM 17374, complete genome.
GGAGAGAUGUCCGAGUGGUCGAAGGUGCACGCUUGGAAGGCGUGUGUGCUCAAAAGGCACCGAGGGUUCGAAUCCCUCUCUCUCCG